UGCGGAAUUUUAGAUAAUGGAGGGAACUCUGAUCUAGCGACGCCGCGUGCAGGAAGAAGGUCUUCGGAUUGUAAACUGCUGUGGUAAGGGAAAAAUGCUAUGUAGAGUGGAAAGCUACAUAGAGGGAUGGUACCUAACUAGAAAGCCCCGGCUAACUACGUGCCAGCAGCCGCGGUAAUACGUAGGGGGCGAGCGUUACCCGGAAUCACUGGGUGUAAAGGGAGCGUAGGUGGCCUAACAUGACAACUGUGAAAACCCGGAGCUCAACUCCGGACUUGCAGUUGAAACUGGUAGGCUUGAGGACGGUAGAGGAAGACGGAACUGCCAGUGUAGGGGUAAAAUCCUUAGAUAUUGGCAGGAACGCCGGUGACGAAGGUGGUUUUCUGGGCCGGUUCUGACACUGAUGCUCGAAAGCCAGGGGAGCGAACGG
rnacentral:rRNA from 1 species